rnacentral:rRNA from 1 species
AUUGAACGCUGGCGGCAGGCCUAACACAUGCAAGUCGAGCGGCAGCGACAACAUUGAACCUUCGGGGGAUUUGUUGGGCGGCGAGCGGCGGACGGGUGAGUAAUGCUUGGGGAUCUGCCCGGUUGUGGGGGACAACAGUUGGAAACGACUGCUAAUACCGCAUACGCCCUACGGGGGAAAGCAGGGGCUCUUCGGACCUUGCGCGAUCGGAUGAACCCAAGUGAGAUUAGCUAGUUGGUGGGGUAAUGGCUCACCAAGGCGACGAUCUCUAGCUGGUUUGAGAGGAUGAUCAGCCACACUGGGACUGAGACACGGCCCAGACUCCUACGGGAGGCAGCAGUGGGGAAUAUUGCACAAUGGGCGAAAGCCUGAUGCAGCCAUGCCGCGUGUGUGAAGAAGGCCUUUC